rnacentral:rRNA from 1 species
UAGGGAAUCUUUCACAAUGGGCGAAAGCCUGAUGGAGCAACGCCGCGUGCAGGAUGAAGGCCUUCGGGUCGUAAACUGCUUUUAUAAGCGAGAAAUAUGAUGGUAACUUAUGAAUAAGGAUCGGCUAACUACGUGCCAGCAGCCGCGGUCAUACGUAGGAUCCGAGCAUUAUCCGGAGUGACUGGGUGUAAAGAGUUGCGUAGGUGGAUAUUUAAGUAGCUAGUGAAAUUUGGUGGCUCAACCAUUCAAACUGUUAGCUAAACUGGAUAUCUCGAGAGCGUCAAGGGUAACUGGAAUUUCUAGUGUAGGAGUGAAAUCCGUAGAUAUUAGAAGGAACACCGAUAGCAUAGGCAGGUUACUGGGGCGUUUCUGACACUAAGGCACGAAAGCGUAGGGAGCA